CCGGCAUGCAGCGGGCGGCGGGCUCGUACCAAGAUGGCGGCGCCUCUGGAGGAGUACGAGAAAGAAGCGGGUUGUGUUCCCAUCCUGCACCCGGAGGAAAUAAAGCCUCAAAGCCAUUACAACCAUGGAUAUAGUGAAUCUCUUGGACGGAAAAGCCACAUGGAUGAUUACAGCACUUGGGACAUUGUCAAAGCCACACAGUAUGGAAUAUACGAACGAUGUAGGGAGCUGGUGGAAGCAGGUUAUGAUGUACGACAGCCAGACAAAGAGAACGUAACGCUUCUCCACUGGGCUGCAAUCAACAACAGGAUAGAUCUGGUGAAAUACUAUAUAUCAAAAGGUGCUAUCGUUGAUCAGCUUGGAGGAGAUUUAAAUUCUACCCCACUUCACUGGGCAACGAGACAGGGUCACUUAUCCAUGGUUGUACAGCUGAUGAAAUAUGGGGCAGAUCCGUCGCUAAUUGAUGGAGAAGGAUGUAGCUGUAUUCAUUUGGCUGCUCAGUUUGGACAUACUUCGAUUGUUGCUUACCUGAUAGCAAAGGGACAGGAUGUAGAUAUGAUGGAUCAAAAUGGAAUGACACCUUUAAUGUGGGCAGCUUACAGAACACAUAGUGUGGAUCCAACCCGAUUACUACUUACAUUUAAUGUUUCUGUUAAUCUUGGAGACAAAUAUCACAAAAACACAGCACUGCACUGGGCUGUGCUAGCAGGAAAUACUACAGUUAUUAGUCUUCUGUUAGAAGCUGGAGCUAACGUUGAUGCUCAAAAUAUAAAGGGGGAAUCACCGCUUGAUCUAGCAAAACAGAGGAAAAACGUUUGGAUGAUCAAUCACCUACAGGAAGCAAGGCAGGCAAAGGGAUAUGACAGUCCAUCCUUUCUGAGAAAAUUAAAAGCUGAUAAGGAAUUCCGUCAGAAGGUGAUGCUGGGAACUCCUUUCCUAGUUAUUUGGCUGGUUGGGUUUAUAGCAGACCUAGACAUUGAUUCUUGGCUCAUUAAAGGGCUGAUGUAUGGUGGCGUUUGGGCUAUGGUGCAGUUUCUUUCAAAGUCUUUCUUUGAUCACUCCAUGCACAGUGCACUGCCUCUUGGAAUAUACUUGGCAACAAAAUUCUGGAUGUAUGUGACAUGGUUCUUCUGGUUUUGGAAUGAUCUCAAUUUUUUCUUUAUACAUCUUCCAUUCCUUGCUAAUAGCGUUGCACUUUUCUACAAUUUUGGAAAAUCCUGGAAAUCUGAUCCAGGAAUCAUCAAAGCCACGGAAGAACAAAAGAAAAAGACCAUAGUAGAACUUGCAGAGACAGGAAGUCUGGACCUCAGUAUAUUCUGCAGUACCUGCUUGAUACGGAAACCAGUGAGGUCCAAACACUGUGGUGUAUGCAAUCGAUGUAUAGCGAAGUUUGAUCACCACUGCCCAUGGGUGGGUAACUGUGUAGGAGCAGGGAACCAUCGCUACUUUAUGGGAUACCUGUUCUUCCUGCUUUUUAUGAUCUGCUGGAUGAUUUAUGGAUGUAUCUCUUACUGGGGUUUCCACUGUGAGACAAGUUAUGCUAAGGAUGGAUUUUGGACCUAUAUUACACAGAUUGCUACCUGUUCUCCGUGGAUGUUUUGGAUGUUUCUAAACAGUGUUUUUCACUUCAUGUGGGUGGCUGUGUUACUCAUGUGUCAGAUGUAUCAGAUAUCUUGCUUGGGUAUCACGACAAAUGAAAGAAUGAAUGCAAGAAGAUACAAGCACUUUAAAGUUACAACCACAUCUAUUGAAAGCCCGUUCAACCAUGGAUGUAUAAGGAACAUUAUAGACUUCUUUGAAUUCAGAUGCUGUGGUCUUUUUCGGCCUGUUAUCGUGGACUGGACAAGGCAGUAUACAAUAGAAUAUGACCAGACUUCAGGAUCAGGCUACCAGCUAGUGUAGCACCACCUUCAUCCUGUGAGCAUAUCAUAUCUGAGUGGUGCCUGAAAAAUUUUCUCUCUCUCUCUCGAAUCCGCAUCCCUUGAAGAGUAGCAUGCUAUGUGUAGGGCUGAUGAUGAAUCAUAAGGUACCUUCUCUUCAUCAGAACUUUAUUAACAAAGUAAAAAUGGACAGAACAAACUGCCAAACCUGAUAAGGAAGAGGAGGAAGAUCGAAAAGGGAUUUUAACAGUUCUUAACAUGAGAAUUAUUCGCGACAGCAUAUUCACAGUAUUUGUUGUUGGGUUUUUUGUUUAAGGUCUUUCACAAUGGAGCAUGAGAUUAUUGAAGUAUUGACAUAAGUAGUUACGUUGUGCUCAGCAGAAAAAUUUAUUUCCCAAUAUGAAUAAUUCCACUGAAACAAUAAUCUAGACUAUAAAACUAAAUUUCAUGAUGGCAGAGUUCACUGAUCGCUAUGUUGUAGUUCCUGUAAUGUGAUUUUUUUUUUAAUACAGAUUUUCUGUAGUAUUAUGUACAUUGAAAAAUGUGCUUUUCAAUACUGUUAUAAACAUCAUGUGGUGGGAAUCCACUGUAACAUGUUAAGUUAUAGCAGUAGGGCAUGUCAGAUAAUGUUGAGAAAAGAUACUUUGCCCACAUUUUUUGGUGAUUGUUUUUGCCUCCAGUUAGUGGUACAACUAAAUACUUGUAAUAACCCUGUUCUGAGAUUAUAUAGUCUGAAAUAAACAAUCGCACAAAUAAGGAAAGCUCUACUGUUAAAGUUAAAGGCCUGCUAAAAUGCAUGAUACACCUGUAAAACUAGAGUACCGCAUAUAAUGUUCAGGAAAAAAGUGGAAAAAAAAUAUCUUUGAGUUAAUUGUAUAAGUAACUUAAAAACUAGCAAUGUUUCAGUAUUAGGUUUGGUCCUUAUACAGUACAAUGUUGUGUAAUUGGAGAUAUGUUAGAAGAGAAAUUGCAUGGGGGAAAACAGAGAUGCAAAAGCAAAAAAUCUUAAUUAUAAAAAGACAGGAUAGUUUUAAAUUGAAUGCAACUGCAGAAGAAGAACCCAGAGUUGUCUGAAAUUCUUAUUUUGUUUGGAGGUAAAAUAAUGGAAACCAAACUUUAACAAAAAAAUAAUCCCCAUAAUAGCAUGCGCACACAGAAAAUGUAACACAACGUUCUGAAGAAGAUGGUGUAUUGGCACGUGGAAAUCACCCUUAAUUUCUUUAAGUUCUCAUGCUACAGAUAUGUUUGGAAGGUUUCUGUAUUCUUUGAUGUCCACCAGAUUUUUUUUCAGUUAAUGUAUAAAACAGCAUCACUACAUUUUAAGCUAUGGAUUUUUCUGUAUAUUCUUUAUUUAUAACUGUGCCAAGUAUUAUUUUAAUACUGUCGAGAUCUUGAUGUAUUACAUUGUGAACAAAAAAAAAAAAAAUCUGUAAAAUGUUUAAUAAAAUAGCUCUCCUUACAUAAAUUAAAUCUGUUAAAUUUUGUAAGUUAUUAAUCAAAUAAAUAUUGACUCUUAGAUGCAGUGUUUGUCUUGACUUGGGACAUGAUUUCACACAGUGUUGUAUUUUUGCCUGAUUUCAGAAGCUGUACUAUGAGAAAAUAGCUGCCAUCUUGCAUCUUAUUUUAGUAAGGUCUUUCAGGAAAGAUUUAUAGGUCUUUCAAAGAUAACGUGCACCCAGUUCUGUGCUAAUGUGAAAUCCUGCAAACCACAGUGGGUUUUGGUAAAGUAUGCCUUUGUACUACUGAUUAGAGUUACCAUUCCCUAAUUAGAUACUCCUUUCUUUUGAGUAAAGCAUGCUGGCAGGGUAACACUUCUUAAGGGAGAAUUCGUCCUAGGGAACAUUUCAGGUGGCCAAAUAUAUGUAUUUAAUGACAUUUGAGGUAUUUUAAGGGUAAACAAGACAUCCACAUAGGGCUAGCAGGUAUGACCAAGAUGUGUGUGCUUCUAGAUGGCAUUUGCAGAAGACAAUACCUUGGCUCUUCUGGUCCAUGGUAAAGGUUAGAUUUUUGAGUAGAAACAAGGUAACUAUCCCAGCUGGAAUUUAAUGAGGAUGUUAAAAAAAGACAUUCUGUGCUGAAGAUCUCCAUCGGACACUUGCAGUGCUUCAUCAGAGAGGUUGCUGCACUUGGGAGGUACGGGUGGGCUCCUGAUGACUUGAAAGGAGGUUACUGGGUUUGUUUUAUUUGGUAAGAAGCCUGCCCUCUGCACCCUCAUUAUGGCUGGCUUAGAGUUUACUCCCUUGCACCGGCCAUGAGCUGCCUUUAAGUAAAAUCAGAUGGUUUUGCUAUGAAGGCAAUAUCUGCUUGUGAACACUUGCAUUUGGAUUUUAUCUACCUUAGGCUACUGAAUGGAGAUCAGUAAAAAUUGCACCUACUUAAUUCCAGGUUGAAUUAUUUGUAGUAUCUUAUAAACUCAGUGCUGUAUCUUAUAAACUUUGUGCCAUAUUCACAUUGCCUCCAACCUUAUGUACUACUUAAGAUCUCCAGAUCAUGAAGUCACAGUACUUUUGAGAGCAAAUUUCUCCUGGAAUUAGGGCUCCAAACUGAGACUAACUCAAAGCAUUACUCUAGCCUGGGCUGAGCUUUUGUUCAUCAGUGCUUUGCUGCAGCUGAAAAGUUGACAGUAACCAAGUGAAAGCACUUCAGUGUAGGGUACGCGUUUCUCUUGACAGGUAUAUUGUUUUUAUAGUCACAAAUUCUCUGUAUUCCUUUUCUUUAUUUUUCUGUUGUUAAAUAAGUUGUUGAGAUGUAGAGCAGUAUGGAGCUGUGAGUUACUGCUAUGCCUCCCUCCAGGAAAUUAAAGGGAAGCCCUUGAUUUUUAGCAGUUUUAAUCACUUCUACAGUUCCUCUUUUGAAGAAUUGAAAGCUGUAUUUUAUAGGUAAAUAAACAGUGUGUUAGAUGACUGGUUUUGUCAGUAUAAACUGCACCUGCAACUCUGCUAAUGUGGUGGGUUUAAAUCCACUACAGUAGCUACAUCAACUAAUGAGGAGUGGUUUCAUCGGCUCACUAGUGGGUCAAAAGCCUUAUUUUGGUUUCUGUCUAUUGACCAGUGCCCCUCACCAUCUUACAUAAUGCCUUUCCUGAGAAGAGAAAGCACUUCCAUCAGGUAACAAGGCUAUAGAAAGGGAAUAUUUUCAUUGUCUUCAUGUUCUCAGCUGCUGGGGCCUGGAUACCACUUCUAAGUUAGAGCUGUCCUUGCUCAGGUUGGAAGAGUCAGAGGGAAUCUAUCCUCCCUGCACAACUAUCAAGGUAAUUGAUUAAAAAGUACUUUUUUUUUUUUUUUUCUAAGGAGAAAAGUAUUAAGAUUAUCAGUAUGAGUAGCAGGACCAAAGGUUUCUGCCCAGGUUUUGUGGGCUGUGCUCUUGCUUGCUGUCUCACUCCCACCUGAAAUGUGUGCUGUUUUUGCCUUACUCUGUUGUCUUUUUCAGUUGUAAUCUUUCCCUCUCUGUGAACUGCAUAAGCUCUUGGCUCACAUUUUGAGCCAGCUGUCUGUUCUUCCUCAUAUCCACAUUGUUCCUUUGUAACCCCUACAAAAUGCUCUUUGUGUAUUAUUUUGACUAGUAUGUAUUUUUCUAAUUAGGCUUUUGGCUUCCAUUGCUUCACUGCCUCAGACCACAGUGGUAGAUGCUGCUUGAAACUCUGCCUUAGACUGUGUUGACACACUUGCUUACUAUUUUAUUGCCAUGUUCCCAGUCUUGAAUGCAUCUCCAUAAAUCCAGUCUGUUAAGGUUGGGGUUUUUUUUCCCCCAAAAAGUAUCAGCGUGCUUUCCAAACCACUCAGUUUCAACUAACUUCUGUUGGGCAUGAUGAUAGUUGAAACUGAACCUGCCCCUCCACCCCAGAACACCAUGUGGGUUGUAGCCACCAGGGCUGGAGUUUGCACCUCCCUGCUGCUGUGGUUGGCCUCUAGGAAAGCCCUUGCUGUGCAAUAGCCUGUCCUUCACUGGAAGGGAUGGAAAGACACUCCUGCAAACACCCGUUACCUACAGGUGUGCUCCUCUGAGGCUCAGUUUGUACUUUUAAAAGGUGGUGAUGCCCAGAUUUCAUGCCAUCUCCUUACUGUAGGCAACAGGAUGCUAUUAGCUUUGAAAAAGGACCUUGGCAGAGGAGCCUGAGCACACUAACGAAGGUCUGCUUCAGGUGCUCAAGAAAUUUAGGACUAGAACAAGGCAAGCUGCCUUAAACUGGGUGAUUUUUGCAAAACUAUUACAGGCUUAAGUACUUCAUUCUCACAUAAGUAAGGCCUUUGGGUUUGGCUGGUCUUGGGCUGCCUGUUGAGGUAACUCCCAUUUGUUUCACAAGAUGUGCAGUUGCAGGUACUAUCAGCUCAGGCUUUGCAGGCUUGUGUUGGGAGCUGCUCUAGCCCCCAAAAGCAGCCAAGUUCUGUGAGCUUUCCACUCAAGAUCUGGCUAAGGCAAAAGUAAUUGCCUCCUAAUUGUAGACUUCUAUUAGUAGCAGUUCCUAAAGAGUUACAUUAGCAGAGUCAAGGCCCCUGAUGAUAUGGCUUUCGCCCAUCUGGUGUGUUCACACGGAGUAGAUCUACACUGCAUUUGAUGUGUUUAACUGCCAUUACUCCUUGCCCAUCAACUUGAGUUCAAGUCACCUUUAGACCAAAGAGAGCACUUAAAAGACUGAAUUUUAUUCUGCUCUGUUUUUAUGCUGCAGCUACCUUGUCAGAUGCUGUCCUCAAGAGGCUGAAACCCUCUCCCCUCUUCAGGGAACUAAUGGUCCUAACACUCCUGAGAAAAGGUCAAAAGCUACUCUUAAACCUGAGAUUGACAGCAUAGUCCAAAGCUUGGUCAACUGCUGAGUAGGGACUAUAGCUGUCUCCCUAGAGCACUCCUACACAGUAAGUCCUGUGCACAGUAACCUACUUCUAAUACAAGCCAAUUACCUUGAACCUCAAUACCAAAGCAGGUGCAAUCCCACAAAAUAUUACAGUGGUAAAGUUUGUUUUCCAUUCACUAGAGUCUCUAUGGCAACAGUCAGCCACUGAGGCACACCAGCAACUUACACGGUAUCUCUUUCAGAGCAGUAGAUUAAGAUUUACUACUUCUGUGCAGUGAGCAGCAAGUUGCCUUGCACAUGCAUAUGAUGGUGUGAUACUGGGAGACAGUUGUCCAACCUCUGAAGGCCAUGAUCAGUGCUCAGUAUGUCCAGCUUCCAGUCACGCUGGGUGCAGACCUUCCCUGAAGGCCAAGUCUGUAGCAUCAUAUCUCCACCCCGAAGUACCCCAAGCCCACUUCCUAUACUUUUAUUGCUGACAAAGCAUGUAACACUUGACUUCAGGAUAUAUCAACAAGCAAAGCUUUACUGACUUGAUACUCAGUAUUAAAAGUGUUACAGUGUGAUAUACAAAGCAAGGAAAAAAGCAGUGCUUUUUU